rnacentral:rRNA from 1 species
UACGUAAGGGGCGAACGUUGCUCGGAAUCACUGGGCGUAAAGGGCCGGUAGGUGGCUUUAUAAGUCGGUUGUCAAAUACCUAUGCUCAACGUGGGAGAGGCGACCGAUACUGUAGAGCUUGAGUAGAGGAUGGGAUGAUGGAAUACCCGGUGUAGGGGUGAAAUCUGUUGAUAUCGGGUAGAACACCGAUGGCGAAAGCGAUCAUCUAGCCUCAUACUGACACUCAACGGCGAAAGCCAGGGGAGCGAACGGG